rnacentral:rRNA from 1 species
AACGAACGCUGGCGGCAGGCUUAACACAUGCAGGUCGAACGAUGUAGCAAUACAUAGUGGCGCACGGGUGAGUAAUACUUGGGAACGUGCCUUUCAGACGGGAAUAACCACGGGAAACUGUGGCUAAAACCCGAUACUCCCUCCGGGGGAAAGUUUACGCUGAAAGAUCGGCCCAAGCCAGAUUAGCUAGUUGGUGGGGUAAUGGCCUACCAAGGCAACGAUCUGUAGCUGGUCUGAGAGGACGACCAGCCACACUGGAACUGAGACACGGUCCAGACCCCUACGGGAGGCAGCAGUGGGGAAUAUUGGACAAUGGGGGAAACCCUGAUCCAGCCAUGCCGCGUGAGUGAUGAAGGCCUUAGGGUUGUAAAGCUCUUUUGUCAGGGAAGAUAAUGACGGUACCUGAAGAAUAAGCACCGGCUAACUUCGUGCCAGCAGCCGCCGUAA